rnacentral:lncRNA from 1 species
UUAACAUUUGACAAACCUCUUCUAACGACCAACUUAUUUUGACAUAUGGUGGAGGGAAAAAGGAGAUGAAAUGAGGUGGGUGUUGAGAAUGAGAACCUUACCUAUGAUCAUGGAGUCUAUAUGAUAAAAUUGGGUGAUAUCAUUAGAGCGUGUCCUAGCAUUUUUAAUAAUUCAAAAAACUUUAGUGUAAUUUUUGAUAAAAGACAUGUGACA